GGCUCUCUGAGUCCCUUCUGGAUGACCGAGCUUCUCACCCUAUCUCUAAGGGAGAGCCCAGACACCCUAUGGAGAAAACUAAUUUUGGCCUCUUGUAUCUGUGAUCUCGUUCUUUCGGUCAUGACCCAAAGCUCAUGACCAUAGAUGAGGUGGGAUUCCAACAGAGUCAGAGUGUUUUGAGGCUCGGGCUGGUCGCUUUGUCCUCGGGAGCGGCGUCGGUGGAGCUGUUUGGUUUUCGGUUCAGAGCCGGCCAUGCUGAUUCAUCCAGGUUUGCUGAACUUCCUUCCUUAUUCCACCCCUAACUGAAAGUCACUGAUCAACAAAGACUUGGGUCAAUAGAGACAUGAAAGCUGUGAUUAAGCUGCAGUUGAUCCUGAUAGGAGUCUGUAGUGUUGAACCUUCCUGUGAUGGCAGAGAAAAUGGAGCUCAGUGUUUUGGAGUGUUGGGAGGAGCAGUAGCCGUUCAGCUGAUGGACAACGUGUCAGAAAUACCCAGAUUCUGGUGGAAAAUGAACAACUCUGUGAUACUAUAUUGGAGGAAUAACACAGUUGUUACUCCAAAGGACGACAGAAUUCCUUUUUUUCCCAGUAAUGGAACAGUCAGGAUCAAUGACUUGAGAAGGACUGACAGCGGUGAAUAUAAACUUGAAAUGUUUGGUAGAGAUGGAAAUAACAUAGGAUGGAGAACUCUGCAACUAUUUGUUAUAGCUCCUGUGUCCUCAGUCCAGCUGGUCCCUGAGUGUUUCUCUCACGGACAGGUGAAGGUGUCCUGUGUGUCUCAAGGUGACAGUCCUCAGUACAGCUGGACUCUGGAUGGACACACA